rnacentral:rRNA from 1 species
AGCAGCCGCGGUAAUUCCAGCUCCAAUAGCGUAUAUUAAAGUUGUUGCAGUUAAAAAGCUCGUAGUUGAAUUUCGGGGUCAGUAGGUCGGUCGUGCCACUGGUAUGAACUGGUUUCACUGAUUCCUCCCUCUUGUAGAACCGUGAUGCCAUUAAUUUGAUGUCAUAGGAAAUCAGGACUGUUACUUUGAAAAAAUUAGAGUGUUUAAAGCAGGCUCGCGCUUGAAUACAUUAGCAUGGAAUAAUGAAAUAGGACGUUUGAUUCUAUUUUGUUGGUUUCUAGGAUCGACGUAAUGAUUAAUAGGGAUAGUUGGGGGCAUUAGUAUUCAAUUGUCAGAGGUGAAAUUCUUGGAUUUAUUGAAGACUAACUACUGCGAAAGCAUUUGCCAAGGAUGUUUUCAUUAAUCAAGAACGAAAGUUAGGGGAUCGAAGAUGAUCAGAUACCGUCGUAGUCUUAACCAUAAACUAUGCCGACUAGGGAUCGGAUGAUGUUAAUUUUUUAAUGACUCAUUC